rnacentral:tRNA from 1 species
GUGCUUGGGUAGCUCAGUUGGUAGAGCACUUGCCCGUGAAAGGCAAAGGUCCCGAGUUCGAGUCUCGGUCCACACA